CCUACGGGAGGCAGCAGUGAGGAAUAUUGGUCAAUGGUCGGGAGACUGAACCAGCCAAGCCGCGUGAGGGAUGAAGGUACAGAGUAUCGUAAACCUCUUUUGUCAGGGAACAAAGGCGGGGACGUGUCCCCGGAUGAGUGUACCUGAAGAAAAAGCAUCGGCUAACUCCGUGCCAGCAGCCGCGGUAAUACGGAGGAUGCGAGCGUUAUCCGGAUUUAUUGGGUUUAAAGGGUGCGCAGGCGGUCUGUUAAGUCAGCGGUGAAAGCCGGGGGCUCAACCCCGGCCCGCCGUUGAAACUGGCAGUCUCGAGUUGGAGAGAAGUAUGCGGAAUGCGCGGUGUAGCGGUGAAAUGCAUAGAUAUCGCGCAGAACUCCGAUUGCGAAGGCAGCAUGCCGGCUCCACACUGACGCUGAGGCACGAAAGCGUGGGUAUCGAACAGGAUUAGAUACCUUAGUAGUC
rnacentral:rRNA from 1 species